GAGUUUGAUCUUGGCUCAGGAUGAACGCUGGCGGCGUGCCUAACACAUGCAAGUCGAACGAAGCAAUUAAGAGGAAGUUUUCGGAUGGAAUCUUGAUUGACUGAGUGGCGGACGGGUGAGUAACGCGUGGAUAACCUGCCUCACACUGGGGGAUAACAGUUAGAAAUGACUGCUAAUACCGCCUAAGCGCACGCUACCGCAUGGUAGUGUGUGAAAAACUCCGGUGGUGCGAGAUGGAUCCGCGUCUGAUUAG
rnacentral:rRNA from 1 species